rnacentral:misc_RNA from 1 species
UAGUUGUUAAAGGCUCAAGGCGCACUGAGGCGCCUAGGGUCUUGGAGCCUAGGUGCAAGGAGCAAGGCGUGCACCUGAGUGAGAUGAGGCGCAAAAAUUUUAAAAAAAUUAUGAAAAUAAAUUAUAUAAGCACUUUAGUUUUAAUUAAUGUAAUAUUAAUUACAUAUGAUAAUAUAUGUAAUGUAUUAUUUAUUUUAUUACUUAUUGCACCACCAUCAUCAAUUAAAUUAUAUAUAUGAG